rnacentral:ribozyme from 16 species
AGGGAAGGAGAGAGAGAAAAAAAAAAAAAAAGUCGCGAACAACUUUGAUAAUCGACUCUCUUUUUCAUCUUCAUUUUUUUUUUUC